CACGUAGGGCGCAAGCGUUGUCCGGAAUUAUUGGGCGUAAAGAGCUCGUAGGCGGCCUGUUGCGUCCGCUGUGAAAGCCCGGGGCUUAACCCCGGGUCGGCAGUGGAUACGGGCAGGCUAGAGGUAGGUAGGGGAGAAUGGAAUUCCCGGUGUAGCGGUGAAAUGCGCAGAUAUCAGGAGGAACACCGAUUGCGAAGGCAGCUCGCUGGGACGUUACUGACGCUGAGACGCGAAAGCGUGGGGAGCAAACAGG
rnacentral:rRNA from 1 species